rnacentral:tRNA from 1 species
CAGAGAAUAGUUUAUGUAAAAUAUUAAUUUUGGAGAUUAAAGUAAGGGGAAUUUCCUUUUCUCUGA